rnacentral:rRNA from 1 species
CGGGACAGCCUCGGGAAACCGUGGGUAAUACCGGAUACUCCGGGACGGCCGCAUGGCCGGCCCGGGAAAGCCCAGACGGGAGGGGAUGGGCCCGCGGCCUGUUAGCUAGUCGGCGGGGUAACGGCCCACCGAGGCGAUUAUGGGUAGCCGGGUUGAGAGACCGACCGGCCAGAUUGGGACUGAGACACGGCCCAGACUCCUACGGGAGGCAGCAGUGGGGAAUCUUGCGCAAUGGGCGGAAGCCUGACGCAGCGACGCCGCGUGCGGGACGAAGGCCUUCGGGUCGUAAACCGCUUUCAGCAGGGACGAGGCCCUCACGGUGACGGUACCUGCAGAAGAAGCCCCGGCUAACUACGUGCCAGCAGCCGCGGUAAUACGUAGGGGGCGAGCGUUAUCCGGAUUCAUUGGGCGUAAAGCGCGCGUAGGCGGCCUGUUAGGUCGGGGGUCAAAUACCGGGGCUCAACCCCGGUCCGCCCCCGAUACCGGCAGGCUUGAGUCUGGUAGGGGAAGGCGGAAUUCCCAGUGUAGCGGUGGAAUGCGCAGAUAUUGGGAAGAACACCGGCGGCGAAGGCGGCCUUCUGGGCCACGACUGACGCUGAGGCGCGAAAGCUAGGGGAGCGAACAGGAUUAGAUACCCUGGUAGUCCUAGCCGUAAAC